GAGCCAGCAUGGCAUAGUGGUUUGAGUGCUGGACUAUAACUCUGGAGACCCAGGGUUCAAAUCCCCACUCGCUCA